AUAAUAAUAAUAAUAAUAAAUGAGCAUAUCAAAAUAAAGCAAAAAAAAUAUUCAUAAAUCAUGGAUUUCAAAAGAAUCAAAACACAACUUUUUCAUUUCUAAGAUUAUAGGCAGAAACAUGCAUGCAAAUGGCUGUACUUUUUAACUAGAAUUGUAGCCCAUAAAAACAAUCAAGAGCCAUGUCUUUGUUUUGACUACAAGUACCAUUCCGAAGCAUGUAGUACACUUUCUAGUUAAAAAUUAUAUAAUUGAAAAAUAUGUAUAAGAUAGUAGAGUAUAUUUAUUAAGAUAUAUAUUAUAAAAUGACUUAGUUUAUGAAUGUUUCAUGGGAAUGAAAUAUGGUCCAUUCAAAAUGCUAGUAGUGGGAUCCGGAUAAAAUAUUUUGGAAGGUUUAUGGUAAUAAUGGAGAGCAUGAGCCGAAACAAUAUUUAAGAGUGAAUAUUAAUAAUUGAAUUCACUAAGUUUAAUAUUAUAUUAACUAUCUUAUUUUUAAUUUGCAAAAAAUUUAAUUAUAAUCUACAAAAUUUUUAUAAACAUCUACUAUAUUAACAUUAAAUUUAUUUUUAAUACUUAUUAUUAUGAAUCAAAAUUUAAACUAGUAAAAAUUGUAUAUCGUCUAACAAAAUUUUAACUUUAAAGAGUUAAAUGAAAAUAUAAUAAAAAUUUCUCUAAAGCCCAAAACUACGUAAUUUCGUACUUUGACUUAGGUUACAUUAAUCCUAACCCAUAUUAUGCCCGUUCAUUUGCUGUUAUUUUAUAAUUUAAAUGAAAAUAUUAUGUGUUUUAUUACAAAUACUUCAUGUUAUCCUUUUUUUUUUGUGA
rnacentral:misc_RNA from 1 species